UUUCCGUAGGUGAACCUGCGGAAGGAUCAUUAAAAAAUGUGGUACCGAUUGUUGGUACUAAAUUAAUCAUCCUACCCUUUGUGAAUUUGUUUGUAACGAAUUUUUUUAAAUGGGUCUUUCCCUAAGUUGGAUUGUAGUAAAAUACAAAAAAGACUUAGGGGAAUGACUUUUUUAAAAGACUUUUUUUUAAUUAAAACUUUUUGUAUUCAUUUGUCUAAAAUUUAUUUUUAUAAUAUAAAAACAACUUUUGACAAUGGAUCUCUGGUUCUCGCAACGAUGAAGAACGCAGCAAAAUGCGAUAAGUAGUGUGAAUUGCAGAAUACGUGAAUCAUCGAAUCUUCGAACGCAUAUUGCACUUUUUUAGUUUACUAAAAAAGUAUGUCUGUUUGAGUAUCAGUAAAAUAUUCUCACAAACAUAUAUUGUUUGUGGUAUGAGUGUUUUACAACGAUAAACAAGUUGUUUCACUUUAAAUUCUUUUUGUAAGUUUUUUACCAAUUCAUAAAUUAAAAUUGGAUAAAAUUUUCCUUUAACGAGGAAUAACCUAAACAAUUUUAAAUUUUUUGGAUUAUAAACAUCAUCAAAGGAAUCUAUAUACAUAAAUAACUUGAUCUCAAAUCAGAUAAGAGUACCCGCUGAACUUAAGCAUAUCAAUAAGCGGAGGAAAAGAAACUAACAAGGAUUCCCUUAGUAACGGCGAGUGAAGCGGGAAGAGCUCAAAUUUGAAAUCUUCAAGGUUUGACCUUGACGAAUUGUAGUUUAUAGAAGUGUUUUCUGUUGGAGUUUUGGUAAAAGUUCUUUGGAAUAGGACAUCAUAGAGGGUGAGAAUCCCGUAUUUGACCAUGACUUUCCAGCUGUGUGAUACACUUUCAAAGAGUCGGAUUGUUUGGGAAUGCAGUCCAAAAUGGGUGGUAAAUUUCAUCUAAAGCUAAAUAUUGGCGAGAGACCGAUAGCGAACAAGUACCGUGAGGGAAAGAUGAAAAGAACUUUGAAAAGAGAGUUAAACAGUACGUGAAAUUGUCAAAAGGGAAGCGUUUGACACCAGUGUUGUUUUCUCGAAAAUCAAUUUAAUGAGUUCUUGUUCUUAAGUUAUUGUGACUUUAUCAGCGCAUUUCUUAUUUUACUUGACUCAUUGAAUGCACUUUUCGUUUAACAAGUCAACAUCAAUUUCUUUGGUGGUAAAAAGUUUAAAGGAAGGUGGCUUGGACUUCGGUUCAAGUGUUUAUAGCCUUUUUUCUAUGCCAUCGGAGAGAUUGAGGUCUGCAGCGUAGAUCCUUCGGGGUUAGAUACCUUUGUGCUAAGUUAUAGUUUUUUAUAGACAACUUGUUGACUAUAAUUAACCCUGUAAUUUACUCGCUUAGGCUAUUUUACCUACGCUUAGGAUGUUG
rnacentral:misc_RNA from 1 species